rnacentral:rRNA from 1 species
UACGGAGGGUGCAAGCGUUAUCCGGAUUCACUGGGUUUAAAGGGUGCGUAGGCGGGCAGGUAAGUCAGUGGUGAAAUCUCCGGGCUUAACCCGGAACUGCCGUUGAUACUAUCUGUCUUGAAUAUCGUGGAGGUAAGCGGAAUAUGUCAUGUAGCGGUGAAAUGCUUAGAUAUGACAUAGAACACCGAUUGCGAAGGCAGCUUACUACGGGUGUAUUGACACUGAGGCACGAAAGCGUGGGAUCAAACAGG